rnacentral:tRNA from 4 species
GGUCGAGUACCCAAGUGGCUUAAGGGCGCGGAUUGCAAACCCGAUGUUCGUGGGUUCAAAUCCCACCUCGACCU